UGGACUCUGGCUGACAGUGCUUGGUUACCUUGGGACAGAAGAGGCUCCCCUAAGCAUAGAGGCUGGAGGUUAAACUAAUUAAGCUUGCCUGGCAGAAUUUGGGGGAAGUGAUCAUAUAUUUCAGGGAAAGGAUAUAUGUCGCAUAUGGUCUUGAGGUUCUUGAUGUUCUGUGGUGGGGAGAAUCAGUCGUUCCUAGGAAGAGCUCCUUUGUUUAGAAGACAACUUCCAAUUGAACCAUUGUCUUCUGAGCGCAGCUGGCACCAGGACUUCAGCUGCAUUGGAUCCCGCUCAAAAAAAACACAACCCAGGGGACAAAACAACACAAAGAUUGUGUAUUCCAUGUGAAAGGAGGGAAAACACUUCUGCAGGAGAGCAGAAAGCUAAAAAGGUCUUGGAAGACCCUUCCACAACAUGGAUAAGAAAAGCUGGCUGGGACAAUGAGAUUGAAGACAAGCUUUGGUGAUCUUCAUCAGAUUCUUUUUCAGAUUUUUCAUACGUAUCAAGCAACCUUUGAAAAGUGGAAAAAAUCUUUUGAAAUGAAUCACUUGAAGCAAGUACAGACGCCAUGAUGUGACGCAGAAGAUAUUCACAAGUGAAGACACGCUGAGAGCUAUGCAAUCUUAUCUGAUCUUAGACCAACACAGCCAAGCAAUAAAAGUGUCAAGUUAUAAGAAGCCAAAUUAUAGUAGAUUGGUUUACAGCCCACUUAAGGGAAGCCCGAGGGGGUGUUGAAAUAAAGUAAAUUUUUCUUUAUCCACGUAAACAGCAUUCAAAACAUUUAAGAAAUAGGGUAACCA